CGGAUACAAAAGAAACAAACACAGUGUAGAUUUUUAAAGAUCGUUUUAAUGAGAUGUAAAUUACCUCACUGUACACAGCUGAAGCCCUUUGUUCUCCAGCCGAGAUUCACUUAAGGAAGCAGACAGUGUUUCUUUGUGGUUCCUCCCGAAGGGUGAAAAGCUUUAGUCUCUCCUCAAGCCUCAGAAGCAGCUUUGCUGUCAUGAGCAUCACGCUCUUCAGUGCUUCAUUCGCACAGCAGUCGGCUGGAAAGUUUGCCAGCACAGCUACAGUGGAAGAGCUCGUAAAGCCUCCUAGACAGGAUCAAAUUUAGAUCACUAUGAUAUAUUGCUAUAUAUUGCUUAUAUCAAAACAGCAAUGGAUUUUUUUUUCUUGAAACUACAUCUACAGAUUUUUGCCAGCAAACGUAUUGAUUGUUGAAUGUUGUUAUAAUCCUGGUGUUGCCAAGUCAGCAAAACCUUUAAAUAUAAACCAUGCCUCUAGCCCCUGCCAGUCAGAUCACUCCUUGUCCAGGUUAUGCAGGACUUAUGCAGCUUCUCACACUUUUAUUCACGUUUAGAGUUGUACCUUGGUGACCUCUGACCAACUAACCAUGAUCUUUUUAUAACUGGAUUAUCUCCUCUUUAGAGCUAAGCGUUCCGGUUGGUCUGGAUGCAGAGAGUCUAGUUUUGUUUGUAAGGUCAAACGGUAAAAAAUGCUGGAAAUGCAGACUCUGUAAAGCACAACAAAUUUUUGGCUUGCUCUUAUAGUGUCUGGUGGUGGACAGGACUUGACUGGAGAUGCAUGGUGAAGGAACCAUCUGCUAACAUUUCAGUACACAUGAAAUUCUGUGUAUUGGAAUUUUUCUACCGCGGUUUGUAUCUCACAGCCUCAAAAAUGAAGACAACAUGAAUAUAUUCAGUAACAGACAAUUUGAUAUGUUGAUAAUUAGGAAAAAUUCAAAUACUGACUGAAAAUAUGUUUAGUAUGUCUAGACCUGUAUGUCUAUUCUAACCUGUAGCCAAGCUUUGCAAGAUAGUCAGCUUGUAAUUUGUAACUUUUUAAUUGUGAUGGGUUUGACUUUAUAGGAGGACAGGCAGGCUGCAAACAGCAACAAGACAAGAUCAAAGCUAACCAUAGGGGAAAAACUGUUGAAUCUACAUAUCCCUGCCUUUGUCGAUCUACACUAAAUGAAGUGGCAUAAAAACCCAACCUCUGAAACAUUUUGGACAAUAUUAUCAAACCCAGUGCCUGGUAUGCAUGCAUAACACCUGGCAUUGUGGUGGAUAACCACGUAUUUCUUUCUGCCAACUCCAGCUAGCUGGGCUACCUGUAAGAGUCUGACCACAGCAGCUUGCAUGGAGAGGAGCAAGAUAAUCAACAGUUUUUCUGAAGAUAACAGGAGAAGCUCUUCUUUUAACCAGAACUGUCCCUAUCGCAUCGCAUCACAUGCUUCCAGUUACCCUUUGCUGCAGUACCACAGCCAAGGAGGCAGCUGGCUUCCUUACUGAUAAAGCACAGUCACGUGCAGACGAUCAGGCCAGUAUUUCAUCCAUCCCCCUCCCAGCUCAGCUUCUGCUCUUCUGAUCUGGGAGUUCAGCUCUUCCUCCUGCAGCAACAACCUCCACUUUUACAGCUGGUUUCAAUGAAUUUGGGAUAGAUGCCAAUGAGCAUGGGAGAGUCUGCAGUGGUGUUUGGGCAAUCCAAGUUCUCAUCCACCUUUUGCAAUUCAAUCACCAGAGAACCUUGUGAGUAAAAUUCAUGUAGUGAAAUAGUAUUUAGGUUGUAUUUGUGUUUAAUGUGACUGCGGCUAGCUUGGCCUCUGCUAAAAUCAUGGACCAACCUUUCUGUUAUGUUUCAGUGCAGUCUGAUAAUAAUCACACUCUAUGGUAUGUAAUAUGUAAUCUUUAUAAAAAUAAUAAUAAAAAAAAGUCCGUUAGCUGUUAGAUAUCAUUUGUCAUCUUUUGUAGUCAGCUGCAUCUGUUGGAGGUUGUGGGUUCUGGGGGCUGCCACCCAAAUGUGCAGCCCCUCCUGCCUUCCCCUUCCUAAUCACACCUGCAUCUGGCUGUGGGAUUUUUUUUUUUGGCAUUUCUGUGCAUUGCAUCAGCUUUCUAAAUGUUGUGAAGUUUUUUUGUUGUUGUUGUUUGUUUGUUUUGGGGGGAGUGUAUCUGCCUUUCCUAGGUCCCCUUUGCAAAAUAUUUUUAACCUGCCAACUCUGCGAAGCAAACUAUACAGAGCUUGAAAUGCUCUGGAAUUCUCUGUCUGGUCUCCCCUCCAAACAUCAGCAGCCUAUGGAUCCACCUCAGUGGAAAGACCUGUUCCAGCCACUGGGAUCAAUGCGUGUGCUAUUUCUGGUACCAAAAGCAGUAGUAGGGUAGAAGCAGGGUAUGAGGAAUGAUGGAUGCUUGCUGUGAUCCAUUUUAUUUUCUGGAUCCUUUGGGAAAAAAACAACUGCCUACCCAUCUCCUUCUUAUCCCUUAGUAGUGCCACUGAUCAUUCAUGCCUGAGUGUCCGACUUUGAACUGGUUCCUACUGAGUUUCAUUGCUCAAAGCAUUGCUCCAAGUGUUGAGAGUAUAGUGAAUUCAAACCAUCUUCCACGAUACUCGCAGUCUUUGCAGUUUUGCACUAUCAGCAAUUUUCAUACAUGCAUUUUCUAUUCCAUCAUCCAUACUUUUAGUGAAAACUUUAAACAAACCCAUAGGUAGGGUAGACCCCUGUAGCCACCUUUCUGUCUUGACAAGGAAUGAAGCCACAUUGUACUGACCCUGUAGGAAUUUCAGCUAGAUUGUUUAUGAGAAUGCAUCAUGAGACAAAAAUUUUACUCAAGUCCAGAUAUCUGGUGUCUACUACUUUUUGCUUAUUUAUGAAUCUUCUAAGCCAUUCAUAGAAAGAAUUUUGAUUGUUAUUUUUAGCUGAUACAAUUUCAUCCCAAUGAAUACAUGGUAGCUGCUAUUCCUCUUCUUGUUAUUUUCCAAAUGCUCAAAAAUAACUUUUUAUACACUCUGAACUAAAGAUGACUGGCCUUUAAUUUGUUACUUGCCAGGACCAAAUCCAUCAGAUCCCACUCCUCACUGAUGGUAUUAAAGACACUUGCCUUACGUUAACCCAGUAGAAAAACUGGAAGUGAUUUACGUAAUGAACAUACAGCCAGCACAAGUACGUGCUCUCCGUGAAGGAGCAUCUGACUAGCAGAGAAGCAUCUGAUCUUUGCCUAACGCUUCAAAAUCCAUUGGAGGGAAAAGAAAAAAAAAAAAAAGAAGAAAAAAAAAAAAAGACCUGAAAACAAAGAGCAGUUCCUUUAUGUGUGUAUAGAAGGUAGAAGCAGACCCGAGAAAGACCCCCUGCAGGUAGAUAACUCUGGUCUGCCAGUGAAUCACUGAUAAAUAUUUUCUGAGUACAGUUAUACAACAGUCUAGCACCAACCUUACAGAAUUUUCAACUGCUUUGCUUAUGGGAAUGUUGUGUGAGAGAAAAGCCCUACUGAAUUGGUGCUUUCUUUAGUGCUUUUUUUCCUCUCCAAGUAUCUUCUUACCCAAACAAAGCUUUUGAUUGUUUUGAUAAGAUUUUUUUUUUCAGAUAAAUUUUUGUUGCCAAUUGCUAAUCACUUUGACGCUACUGUAGGGAAAAAAAAAAAAAAAGAUAAAGAAAUUGAAAUGUCCGCAAAGAUUUGGAAAGUAUUUAAAUGUGUAUGUAUGUGUGUUUUUCUUAAGUAAAAACAAAGUUUAAGAUUCCCUUUAAUUUAACAGAAGAACACUAUCUACCAGAAAAUGCAUGGUUUGGCAGUGAGAUGCAAAGCAGUUUUCCCUGAAGUCAGCAGAUAAGAUGGGUGGUGUUUGUUCUUUCUGGCUCCUCAGUUAGAUUAGAAGGAAGCUCUGUGAAUUUGGUGUUGCACCUCAGGGUGUUUUUCUGGGAAGAAAAGUUGUGAUUCUUGGCUAAAAAUCCCUUCUCCUUUGCCUAUAUGCUGGGAAGUGUCAAUUUUGGGGGUCCUUCUUACGCUGCUAGACCAACAUUAGCUUUAUAUUGUGCUCAAAAAUCUUUGUGGGUGUAUGGAACCACAGAAACAUUCAGGUUGGAAAAGACCUUCAAGAUCACCAAGUCCAACUGUCAACCUGACCUACCAAGUCCCAUCCCUAAGCUGUGUCCCUCAGUGCCAUGUCUACACGUCUCUUAAAAUACCUCCAGGGAUGGAAACUCCACAGCUUCCCUGGGCAGCCCAACGCUUGACCACCCUCUCUGUGAAGAAAUUCUUCCUGAUAUCCAGUCUAAACCUCCCCUGGUGCAACUCGAGACCACUCACUGUGUUGCAAAAGUUUCCAGCACCUCUCCUGGGAAAAUCUGCCCUCAGGAUGUGGUAGAUUUACUUACUCAACACAGCUAUGUGCCAGCAGCGUCAAUACUCAUGGGACCCUGAGUAGAGCCAUAACAGACACCCUCUCUUUUCCCACUCCCAUGCUAGGUGGCUUGUGCUGCUGUUCAUCUCCCUACCAACAGUCUUGUCCCUCCCUGGUUUUCAGUCUGGACAAAAAAUUAAAUAAGCAUGGGCUAUAAAACAAUUAUUUUUGCAGUGACUUGAGCUUGUAUGGUCGUUAAGCAAAACUAUUGCUAGCUCAAAUGGAUAAAAGCUUCCAACAAGCCCAUCUCUCCUAAUCCCACCUUGGGCAGCCCUCCUUAUAAAAGAAUAUAAAAAAAAUGUAAAAACACCCAUUGGGUCGGACUCUGCGGUCAUUUACAGCCUGGUAGCCAUAUCGAGGGUGGAGGGAUGGCAGCUUUAUCAGCACAUUAUCUCUUGUGGUCUGGAAUAGGCUCUUCCCUUAUUCUUCAAACAGGAUUUUCUUGUUACUGUGUGGGGGCUGGAAGGUUUAACUGCAGUCUGACUCUUCCUGCUGCUAUGAUUGUAAUUGACUCCCGGGAAUCUUCACGGAUAUUGAGUAAGGAUGCAUAAACCUGCUAGGGAGAAUAGUCUUCCUAAGGGACUGCUUUCGUCAUCCCAAAACGGUAAAGCAAGCAACCCCCUGCCAACCCUUUAAAUUAAAAAACAGUUUCUGACCUAAUCCUAUUUUGUAUCUCAUAAGAAGAUUAAAAGAAUUAAAGAGGAACAAAGUGACCUGUUUAGUCCAUUUAAUAUUAAGCGUAUGACACACAGCUUCAUCUUACAAAAGGCCAGAAUAAGCAGGAGGACAUCCUUACACACCUGUUAUGCUGCUCGUGAGGACUUCCAAGGUGCAAUGCCCUGUCCGCAUCCACCUUCAGAGGAUCUCUGAAGCUUUGUGGUUGCAUUCUCGUGCCACCAUCCACAGUUCUUGGGG